rnacentral:hammerhead_ribozyme from 1 species
AUCCAGCUGACGAGUACCAAAUAGGACGAAACGCGCGUUCUGGAU